AUUGAACGCUGGCGGCAGGCUUAACACAUGCAAGUCGAGAGAGCGGCGGACGGGUGAGUAAUGUCUGGGAAACUGCCUGAUGGAGGGGGAUAACUACUGGAAACGGUAGCUAAUACCGCAUACCAUCAGAUGUGCCCAGAUGGGAUUAGCUAGUAGGUGGGGUAAUGGCUCACCUAGGCGAGGAUCCCUCUCUGGUCUGAGAGGAUGACCAGCAACACUGGAACUGAGACAGGGUCCAGACCCCUAAGGGAGGCAGCAGUGGGGAAUGUUGUACAAUGGGCCAAAGCCUGAUGUAGCCAUGCCGCGUGGGUGAAGAAGGCCUUCGGGUUGGAAAGCACUUUCAGCGAGGAGGCGUUACUCGCAGAAGAAGCACCGGCUAACUCCGUGCCAGCAGCCGCGGUAAUUC
rnacentral:rRNA from 1 species